GCAUCGGUGAUUCAGUGGUAGAAUGAUCGCCUGCUACGCGGGCGGCCCGGGUUCGAUUCCCCGCCGAUGCA
rnacentral:tRNA from 1 species